AACAAUCGAAUAACGCGGGAUGUCUCCGUCUCUGCUCCGGCAGAGACGGGGAUGAGGAAAUUCGGUGAGAAUCCGAAACGUGCCGGCACUGUAAGCGGAAGAUUUCGCCUAAACGCCUUUUGGGCGCUGAACGUGAGUUCGCCAUUGGAGCAAUCUGAGAAGGUGGGUUGAAAAUCGGGGAGACAUGGGGAUCCCUGCCGCAAGUCAGGAGACCUAUCUCGCGGGAAGCGGCGUA
rnacentral:ncRNA from 2 species